CCGGGGGUCUGGACACAGCCAACAUCUGACAUCACACCAGCCCUCGCUCUGUUCCCAGCGUCCUCUUCAUCUCUCCGGUCUCUGUCGGAGCGUGGCGUCCCCGGGGCCUCGGGUUAUGGAGGGAUCGGGCCGGAUCAGAGAUAAUGGCCCUGUCUGGACCCGCUUCAGUCCGGAUGACACUUUCAGAUACCUGCGGCAGUCACACCUGGAAGACCUCAUCCCCCCCCGAGCUCCUGCUUUCUCCUUCCAUCUCUUUAUCGCUCUGGAAAUUUCUCUCUUGAUUUGCUUUUCUAAAAGAAAAGAGAGCUUAUUCAGCUGUCCAAAGAAAUACAUCGCCAAAAUAUAAAUUCAAAACCUUUACAGAAAUAACACACAGAUGAAUUUUAAAUAGACCAAUCUUCUAUUCAGUUGUUUCUCUUAAGUUCUUGUUAUCUAUCCAACAGUCUCUCCCUCUCUCUCUCUCUCUCUCUCUCUCUCUCCAGCAGUUGGAGUUGUUAAUUUGGUGAUGCUGGAGGUCUUGCGAGGCUAAUAGCUUUCCCAGUAAAAAGAUGCCACGGCGUCCCUCAGGGAUGAUGAUCUGACACCAGUCCAACCACAGAGAAGAGUGAACUGGAAACCCGUGUCUCUACCAAACAACAGCAUCAGGGAAAAUGGAUUUGAUUUCCAGAAUCUUAAUCUGAAUGAAGUCGAGCUGCUCCUCUCAAAGCCAACAGUUGUUCAGCAUUUGAACCAAUAACCUCCGUGAUCCUGAUACUGUUCUGCUGCUGAUGUCAAACAUCUCUGAGGUGGAGAAUGAAGACGCUGACAGUCAGCAGAGCAGAACUGCUUUCAUUUAUAUCUGAGCUUCGUGACGGGGAAACAGAAGCGCCAGCGCUCUACAGAAAGAGAUCUGCUGGCCUGUUUUGAUGCACUGCUGAGAUAUCUGACCUGCGCUCGUCUUCUGUGGAUCAG